rnacentral:snRNA from 1 species
AGCUUUGCGCAGUGGCAGUAUCGUAGCCAAUGAGGUUUAUCCGAGGCGCGAUUAUUGCUAAUUGAAAACGAUUCCCAGUACCCUGCCAUGAUGACUUGAAAUAUAGUUGGCAUUGGCAAUUUUUGACAGUCUCUAUGGAGA